GACGAACGCUGGCGGCGUGCUUAACACAUGCAAGUCGAACGGAAAGGCCCUGCUUUUGUGGGGUGCUCGAGUGGCGAACGGGUGAGUAACACGUGAGUAACCUGCCCUUGUCUUUGGGAUAACUUCAGGAAACUGGGGCUAAUACCGGAUAGGAGCUCCUGCUGCAUGGUGGGGGUUGGAAAGUUUCGGCGGUUGGGGAUGGACUCGCGGGUUAUCAGCUUGUUGGUGGGGUAGUGGCUUACCAAGGCUUUGACGGGUAGCCGGCCUGAGAGGGUGACCGGCCACAUUGGGACUGAGAUACGGCCCAGACGCCUACGGGAGGCAGCAGUGGGGAAUAUUGCACAAUGGGCGGAAGCCUGAUGCAGCAACGCCGCGUGCGGGAUGACGGCCUUCGGGUUGUAAACCGCUUUCGCCUGUGACGAAGCGUGAGUGACGGUAAUGGGUAAAGAAGCACCGGCUAACUACGUG
rnacentral:rRNA from 1 species